GGAGAGACGCACAGCUAAGAUGUCAGGACAUCCUGGAAGCUGGGAAAGGGUCUUGCCAUCUCUAAGCUGGACCUGGUGACCUUUUUGGAGGGAAAGAAAGAGCCCUGGACUGUGAAGAGUGAGGAGACCAUAGCUGCACAGCCAGAUGUAUAAUCUCAUCCCUGAACAUUUCUGAUGGUGUGAUUAUGACAUGUGACUUUAUCUGGCAACAGAGUGAGUUGUUGCUCCCGCCUGAGCCCAGCCCCCAGAAAGGAUUGUGACAUAUCGUUGGACCCAGAAUUGAGGUGCAGUUUUGACACACUUCUGUCUAGCAGCUGAGUAUUGUGAUCUUCAGAACUGGCCCAGCCUACAAAUAGGAUUGUGCCACACUGCUGGACCCAGCACCUAGAUGAUGUAACUAUUCUCCUGCCUUGGUGCUACUCAAAAAAGACAUUAACAUAUCUCAGAGCCUUGCACCCAGAAGGCAUUGAGACAUGGCUGGGCUCAGCACUAAGAAGAUGUGAGUCCUCUGCCUGAAGCCUGACCACAGGGAGCAUUGUGACACAUUUCUUGACCCAUUACAAUCUCUUCUACGGGCAAAGCUGAGGUGGAAUUGUGACAUAUAACUUGGCCAAGCACACAGAUGUAAUGGUGUGGUGACUCUCAUACCUAGAACUGGGACCUGUGCAGGAUUGUUAAUUCAUUACUGGACAUUCCUGUGGGUGUGAUUGUUACAUAUGCCUAUGUUCAGCACCCGAGUGAUUUGAUUUUGCUGCCUGGUCUCAGUCCAAAUGUAAGAUUGUGAUUUAUCGCUGAAUCCAGCA
rnacentral:lncRNA from 1 species